rnacentral:rRNA from 1 species
GAUGAACGCUGGCGGCGUGCCUAAUACAUGCAAGUCGAGCGAACGGACGAGAAGCUUUCUUCCAUGAUGUUAGCGGCGGACGGGUGAGUCACACGUGGAUAACCUACCUAUAAGACUGGGAUAAUUUCGGGAAACAGGAUCUACUGCCGGAUGAUAUUUUGAACCGCGUGGUUCACAAGUGAAAGUCGGUCUUGCGGUCACUUAUAGAUGGAUACGCGCUGCAUUAGCUAGUUGGUAGAGUAGCGGCUUACCAAGGCAACUAUGCACAGCCGACCUCAGAGGGUGAUCCCCCACCUUGGAUCUGAGGCACGUUCCAGACUCCUGCGGGAGGCAGCAGUAGGGAAUCUUCCGCAAUGGGCCAAUGCCUGACAGAGCAACGCCGCGGGAGUGAUGAUGGUCUUCGGAUCGUAAAGCUCUGUUAUUAUGAGAGAACAUAUGUGUAAUUACCUGUGCACAUCUUGACGGUACCGAAUCAGAAAGCCACGGCUAACUACGUG